rnacentral:rRNA from 1 species
AUUGAACGCUGGCGGCGUGCUUAACACAUGCAAGUCGAUCGGUAACGCGGGGGCAACCCCGGCGACGAGAGGCAGACGGGUGAGGAACGCUUGGGAAUCUGCCUAUCAGCGGGGGACAACCCGGGGAAACUCGGGCUAAUACCGCAUACGCUCUACGGAGGAAAGCCGGGGACCGCAAGGCCUGGCACUGAUAGAUGAGCCCAAGUCGGAUUAGCUAGUUGGCGGGGUAACGGCCCACCAAGGCGACGAUCCGUAGCUGGUCUGAGAGGACGAUCAGCCACACUGGGACUGAGACACGGCCCAGACUCCUACGGGAGGCAGCAGUGGGGAAUAUUGGACAAUGGGGGAAACCCUGAUCCAGCGACGCCGCGUGGGUGAAGAAGGCCUGCGGGUUGUAAAGCCCUUUCGGUAGGGACGAAAGCUCUCGACCUAACACGUCGGGAGGUUGACUUAACCUACAAAAGAAGCACCGGCUAACUCUGUGCCAGCAGCCGCCGUAA